UUCUAGAGAAGUAGAAGGAGUUGCAGGGAUAAUACCCAUGACUGCAACAGCUGUGGGAGCAAUUAGAGCAGUAGAUACAUCCCUGAAAUUAAGGGGAGCCACAGGGCUUGUGAGAAACAAAAAGCAAUCAGACACCCUGGCUGGGGUUAGGCUUAACAGCUGCCAAGCUCCACCUUUCACUUUGCUCCUGCUUACUUACCUUGUGAGCACAGACAGAAGCGGCUCUUGUCAGCACCAUGAAUCUUCUGGAAUUCCUGCUGGUUUAAAAGGAAUUGGGGAUCAUAGGAGGCAAAGAGGAAAGAAAUCUCGUCUUCUUUCUGGAGCUGUACAUCUCUAAUUCCCUUUGAUCUUUUGCUCAGCAUUUGAUUAAAUCUUUUUGUGUAUACUGGUCUCCCUAAUCAGAAGCAGCUUACAAUGCCUCUGUCUGAAGUUAUGUGCUUCAGUCUGCUUCUGGAAUCUUGCAGAUCAGAACAAGGGCUUGGUGGAAUUAUCAUUCAUAACCAAGGAGCUAUUUAAGGUUUUCCUCCAUAACUCUUUCUGUGCCAUGCCCUCCAAAAGACACAAGAGAGAGACAAUAGAUCCCAAACCAGCUACAGCUCAAAUCUGGCCUCAGAACAAGACCCAGAUUUCACAGUUCCUUACUGUGUACAAGAAGAAGACAGAACACAUAGAAUGUUAGAUUGUUCAAGCAUGAUUGGUGGUAUUUUCACUUGACUUUGUUUAUAGGUAAAGAAAACACAUUGAUUUAAAACAUGAGAUUAAUGGAAAUAUUUACAGAAUUUUUCAGCUUUGGAUUCUAUACAUUCUCCCUUUUAUUCUGCAAGUCUUCCUUCUUCUUUAAGUGCAUAACUUCUGAAUGACUAGAAAAUAAUAAACAAACCUCACCUCAUUUACCAAGAUAAGCAGGAAGUUUUCAGAGAAAUUAUCAGUUUAAACUAAUAUGCAAGCAUAGUGGAAAGGUAGAGGUCUGCACUGUUGCUUAGCAAGUCAUCAAGACAGCUUCGCACUGAGGAUUGCCAACCCCACUGAAGGACUCAGAGUCAAGUUUUCACCAACAACCUCAUGACAGAAGACAGGACUCAAACAAUCAAAGCACUUAAUUUUUGAUUUUUUUAGAGAAAUACACAAUCUUUAGGUGUUUUGCUUAAUUUUCCUUGGUGUAUUUUGCAGUGUUUACAGACUACCAGUGGCAAGCCAGGGGUGAUUAAUUUUGAGCUGUGUGCUGACAAAAGCAUGGUAAUGAGCUGUGGGUAUUUGGCUUUUUUAAUACCAAACAGAACUUUGUAAAUCAGUGAUUUAGUAAAAGUUUAAAAAUUAAAAAAAACCCCAGAAAUAUCAAUGGGCAUCAAGUCUCUUGGUGUUGGCACACAUGAUGCUCUCACCUUCUGUCCGUAUAUUCUUAGACACCUGCAGAUGGAGGAUUUACUACCAUGAAUGCCACCGUGAAGGAGUCCUUAGCCAUGUUUGUGAUUUCAUUGUUUUAUCUCUGUUGCCUUUCUGUAGUCUUGUCUGCAUAUCUGAAAAGAUGUUUGUUUAUUUUAACUUGUUCUGAAGUUAUGCUAAGGUAAAAAUCCAACUCAAGCCAGGCCCUUUGCUCUCAGAUCCAGGACAAGCACGUAAGCUUACUGCUAUACCUCAGUGAGUUCCUCACAUUCUGUUUCCAUCUAAGUUUCAGGCACCUGCAAUUCCUUGCUUCUGAAAUACUGUGAUACUUGACCAGAAUCCUUCUUCAUACAGAGUCACUGUCAUUUAGCAGUAGAGACAAGCAAUAGAGAAAGGUAUUUGAGACAGCCAUGUGAAUAUUUUGUCUAACCUAAUCUCACGCUUCGCUGCGAGCAAAGCUAGAUAAGCUUCCCUUAAAGCACCAGAGCAGAACCUGCUGCCAGCUGCUGAGAAAGGUGUCUAUACAGGUGUGAGAGCCUGACUGACUCUCGUGGGUAUCUUUGAAAGACUCCGUGUCGUUCCAUUCCUUGCCCUCCAGCUAUGUUUCUAAAUACUGUCUUGCUCAAUUUACCCAUGUGCUGGCUCCUCUUGUAAAACUGGCUUUGGUGCUGCCAGGGCCACAAUGAACUGUAUGAAAUGACUCCCUGUUUUUACAUUUGGUUCUGCUAUGUAGGACUCAUGCCCAGGCCAUGUGCAGCUCUGCAAACCAUGUGGUUAGUGAUUAAUAGGCAUCUUCCCCAAACAUUUCUUCUUUAUCUCUAGUUGAGCUGUCUCCCACUGCUGAAGCUUUUCGGUUGUUAAGGAGGGAAAUUAGACAUUCAGGAGUGUCCAGGGUGAGGUACAAAGCACUGCUUUCAGUGUUGAACCACACACAGUUUGCAGAAAAUCCCCCCCAAAGCAGUUGAUGAACAAUAAGUUGCAAGGUGGAUGGUUCUGAACUCCAUUAAUCUCACUUUUUGAAGUCGGAUGCUGAGGGUCUUCCUUAGAUCAUGCCACUGGAUCAAAAGAGAGCAAUUGGUUCAUAAUUUCAUUUGUUGUUUGUUUGCUUUUCCUUUUCUUCAGUGACAUAAAUUGAUGGUCUCUGGAAAAAGGUAAUAGCAUCAGAUAGUGGUAGUAUCAUCUGAUGCUCCCAAAUCUUUUGAUUAUCUGACAGUAUUUUGAAGUGCAGCUCUAUGCUGAAAAAUUAUUCUGGAAAUGGCAUUAUGAGGUUUUGUGCCUAUCAUCUCCAAAUUAUUUACAUAUCAGAUGUCCUCUGUGAGCAAUAAAAAAGACACUUAACUUUGUUCAUGUGUGUCAGCCCCCAUGAACUUAACCUGAACUUGAAGUUCACAUUGGAUUAUUUUAUUCUCUAAUGUGAUUGCCAGCAAUAGAACACUCAAUGGACCAAUUUAAGUUACACCAUAGCAAGUCUUCCACCUAUGAACUGGACCUCAUUGCCACCUGUAAACGCCUGUGUUUUCUGCAGUUUUACUCAGGUGACUGCAUCCUAUUAAACAGCUCUGUUGAUGUAUGACAACAGGAAAUACAUACCAUCUUCCUGUGUUUUUUAGUAUGUGAAGAGGAGUUUUUUGCUCAGUAUGAACUACUUGGUCCUGAUUUUCUUGUUAUUCUUGUUCUUUUGUAUUCUUUUGUAGCCCCCUCUAAACUUGUCAUAGAUUACACAACCCAUUUGAUGAAUACAUCCUUCCAUCUCUCUGUAGGUUGAAGAACAUUUGCUGUUCAAACUGUUCUGCACUUUAUUUCUUUGCUUGAAGUACUAAAAUAUAUUUUAUACAUAUAUACAUACAGCAAUGCAUAUAUUAACAAAAGAGUGUGCAUGCUACGACAUAUUUUUCUAAUAGCUGUUUUCACAAACCAAGUCCCCAAAAUUCUGAAAUGUUAAAAUUGGUAGCAGAACCUGACAGUAGUUCUUCAGCAGUCAAGGAGCACAAUAUAAAAGGAAGUUUGUGCAAUUAGUCUUUCUUUCUUGACAGAUAGUUUGACCAGAUUGUGAAGAAGAAAGAAUACAAAUCUCUUAAAAAUCAAACAAACCACAUUUUUGAAAAGGAAGGAUCCAGUAGACCUUGUCUGGCUGCUAACUUGCCCUAUUCAGGAUGACCAGUUAAACUAUUUUGUGUUGAUUAGUUCUUUACUAAAUUAAGUGCACCUAAGGAUGCAUGGAAGAAAGAGCAAUAUGCAUCCUAAAUUCCUGCCCCCAUAGAAGGCCACCAUCAUUGCAUUUAAGAGAGAUGAAUACAACAUACAAACAUAAGAAAAUAAAUGAAGUAAUUCCAUAAAAUCGUAGUUUUGGAUUCUAGAAGUUUAGCUCUGUUUCUUCCAAAUGAUCAGCCGUAGACCUUCCAUGGCAGUCUCCAGACUGUAUAGUGUCCCAAGCAAUCCUUUGAAAGUGGGUCCAGGUUCCCUUUUAACACAUGAGAUGUAAUCCUGGAUGUAUAUAGUGGCAUUUCCUUUCAGGUAGGUCUCAGCGGAACUGGUUGUUAGAUAACCUGUGUUGUAUAUUGGCUAGAUAACUUGAUAAACAGAAAACUUGAUAAACAGAAAACCCACAAAGCACAGAGGCCAUCAAAGGAAUGCAGUGGAAUGGUUUCUACUUUGCUCUGUGAUGUGUUCAGAGGUACAGUGGUUAUGGGAGCAGAGGGAUGGUAAGUCUGCCAGCACAGUGGUCACUGCUGUCUUCCUGACUCCUCCUGAGCAUGUGUUCAUUGCAUCUGUGGCGAUGGCAACACUACAGGCAUUUGGAGAUGGAUUAAUGAUUCUGUCCUUCUGUGACCCUCUGAGCACAGGAAUAUGCAAUCUGGAGUGAAAAAAGAAAAGAAGGAACCCUCCACUCACAGGCAGCAUGAAGUUAUUUUGUCCUAGCAAGUUAUGACAGUGCAUCUUCCAACCAUGUUUCACUAUCUCUAAGAUAUGAAACCUUGAAAUGUAACCCCUUUAAAACAUUUGUGUUUUAAAGUAAAAUAAAAGCAGAUAAGGCUAGUAUUUUUUUAACAAAUAACAUGUCUUCAGAAUAAGUAUACUUACAAUAGCAAAAUAUAGAGAGGAAGGCAUUGCAAAUUUAGAAUUAAAUUGAUGAAAAAAACAGUUUUCACAUUCAAGGCAGUCUAUGUCAGGGAACAAAGCAAUUUAAAACAUUUAAAUCAGUCUUAUGGUCUGAAUAAUGAACUUUCCUCAGCUUUUAUCCAUAAUUAAAUGAAUUACGUUAGUUAAAAUAUUAGUGCUGUUGGGGGAGAUAAGGCUAUGAAUCAGUGCCAAAACGCAUUAACUAAACAGGGCAGAAAAAAGUUCCAACUCAGAUUUCUACUCAUCUCUUAGAUUUUUAAAUUGUUAUUAUUUGUUAUUAUUUUCAAGCUGAUUUACCCAGAGAAUGUUUCCCUGUUAUUAGGUAAUUUGGUCUACGAACAUUUUGUUACUUCUUAUUUCUUGAGCAGUCUUUCAAAACAGGUUUCAGCAGACUUUCAGAAGUCCCAGAUUAACUGAAAUUUGCAAUUUUAUGCUUGAUGAUCAUCAGUAUGCAAGAAAAGGAAAUGGACGUCAUCCGCUGUCACCCAAUCAUUCAUUGUCAUCCGAUUCUGACAGCAGGCAGACUUUGACUGAGUUACUGCCAUACAUUUUCAGCUGCUGAACAAAUGGGAAAACUUGGACUCUCCACAGUGCUAACUUACAUAUGCAAAUGGUGUUGAUGUAGUCCAAUGAGCAGAAUGCAGAGCAGUCUUUAUGCCUGAUAUAUUAAAUGAUCACCACUUUUUCAUGAGGAACAGGUCCAGUAAUCAAGUGCAGCAUAAUGUAAAUGUGGAAGACAAAACUCGGAGGAACAGAACUGAGUUUUGCAGCUGACAGCUGCAUGUGUGAUGUCCCCUGCUGGAGUAGUUUAAUACAGACCACAUCAAUUAAUUAUGUUUAUACUUUGUGGAGAGCACUGCAAAGACUGUUAGGUACAGUAAGAAGAGCAGUUUUGGAAAGGCGUAGGUGGAAAUGCAUAUAUUCCUUUCUUAAAAUAGCUGCUACUUAUAUUGCUAAUAUCUUAAAUUAUUGGAAUGAGAAAAAUUAUAUGCCCUCGUGCACUUUUGCAUCUUCCUUCUUUUGACAUUUAAGUUGGUGAAAAUAAUUUGAGUGCAGUUCUUCUGUGAGCAGUGUCUGAUGAAAAGAGUGUUUUAGAGUUCACUGCUUGUGUCAGUGAAUUCCAGAUCAGAUCUGAUUUAAUUUACACAGAAAAUGUAAAGAUGACUUAAUCUGAUAUAAGCUUAUAUUAUUUAUUUUUAGAUGGAUAUGACUUAACACAUCACUGUAAAUUGAGGAAUAUAAUUCCUGAUCUUGGGGGGAGAAAAAAUCGUCUGUGGAGUAAUAUUUUUCUUUCCCACCAUAUUAUUUUCUGCUUAUCUGUCAACAUCCUUUAAUGAAGAAUUUUGCAGGGAAAAUGCUCUGAUAACUUUGCUUUGCUAACUGCAUUGAGGGGAAGAGGACACUCAUUCUCCCACAGAGGUAGUUCUAAUGUGAUAAAAGAAGUUAAAAUCAGUACAAACAGCACCCAAUUUGCAGGCUUUGCAAGCAUCCAGCUGAGGAACUAAAUCUCUGAACACAUGUAGAUUUACACCUCCUUUUUAAACAAUUUGCAGCUACUGCAUUUUGAUCUAACAAUAGAUAUUAUCUCUCAAAUCGUCCCAAUGUUAACCUAUAAAUAAGAAUUAUUAGAUCUAUCACUUCUCAAUACACUGGAAUCAACUGCCAGCAUGCUACAUUUCCAGAACUGGAGGGUUUCUUUGCCCAAAAUGCAGAGACGCAGCACCUGGACCCACUGCACCACACAGAAACCUGAAAUUUCUGCAUUCCAGCCAGGGCAAGGCAGAGAGCAGGGUGUGCCAGAGGCUGGCUCAAGCAGCUGAUUCGGAUAUUGGCUACUUUGUCAACAGUUGCUUUGGCCAAACUGUCUUCAAUAGAGAUCUGGCCUUGAGCAGCUAUUGUGAAACUGCUUCUUUCAAUUAGCUCUCCAAAGGGAUGCUUCAUACCACACUGAGAGCCCAUUUGUGUGGUUUUGGAGCAGUCUAAACUGUCACUCCCCCACCACUCUCAGUGUAGGAAAAGCUCAGAAAUAGCCUAGAAAAUAUGUUGCGCCUAUCUGAUGUCCAUCCUUGACAGCCUUCCAGCUUAAUCACAAGGAGGAUGGGACAAAAAUUCCACUGUUUGAAUGUUUAUACUUUUCUUAUGGAUUUAGAGGGCUCCAUGUGUAACACAGUUUGAAGCAAUGUCAAAAUAUCAAUAAAGAAAUUUCCAAACUUGCAGACCCACUUAAAUAUAUAUUUUACACUAACUUGUGGCCAGUCUCCAGGCUUGCUCUGGGCUACAGGGUCUAAAUCCUCUUGUUUUAAGCCAAUUCAGCAUUUUUCUCAUUCAUAUUUUAU